UUGACAGUCCUGGAGACUGAAAUCCUUUUUUUACAGAACAGUUACAGCAAGGGCAGCAGCAGUGGUAGCUUCCCCACACCACUGUGAUCUAUUCUUUUGGAGGGACCACCUCUAGGAUGAAAGGGUAGUUCAGUCUCCAUACUCAUUCAAUUAUUUGCCUCU
rnacentral:sRNA from 1 species